GAUCCUGGCUUAGGAUGAACGCUAGCUACAGGCUUAACACAUGCAAGUCGAGGGGCAGCAUUGGGAUAGCUUGCUAUUCAGAUGGCGACCGGCGCACGGGUGAGUAACGCGUAUCCAACCUUCCUGCCAGUAGGGAACAGCCCGGCGAAAGUCGGAUUAAUGCCCUAUGUUCUUCAAUGCGGACAUCUAAGUUGAAGGAAAGAUUCAUCGCUGGCAGAUGGGGAUGCGUCCGAUUAGCUUGCCGGCGGGGUAACGGCCCACCGGGGCGACGAUCGGUAGGGGUUCUGAGAGGAAGGUCCCCCCACACUGGUACUGAGACACGGACCAGACUCCUACGGGAGGCAGCAGUGAGGAAUAUUGGUCAAUGGGCGUAAGCCUGAACCAGCCAAGUAGCGUGCAGGACGACGGCCCUACGGGUUGUAAACUGCUUUUAUGCGGGGAUAAAGUGCGGCACGUGUGCCGCUUUGCAGGUACCGCAUGAAUAAGGACCGGCUAAUUCCGUGCCAGCCGCCGC
rnacentral:rRNA from 1 species